rnacentral:sRNA from 1 species
GCUUCUAUAGGAGAGCUUUAGAAUGAAGUCAUUUAGAGGAGCAGGCGAAUCCUAAUCGCAUCUCUCUCUUUAGCUGGACUGAACCCAAACAUGAAUGUCAACAGCAUGGACAUGACCGGUGGCUUGUCGGUGAAGGACCCAUCCCAGUCCCAGUCACGCCUCCCCCAGUGGACGCACCCCAACUCCAUGGAUAACUUGCCCAGUGCCGCUUCCCCCCUGGAGCAGAACCCUAGCAAGCAUGGUGCUAUCCCUGGAGGUCUAAGCAUUGGGCCUCCAGGUAAGUCCUCCAUUGAUGACUCCUAUGGCCGGUACGAUUUAAUCCAGAACAGUGAGUCACCAGCCAGUCCUCCCGUAGCUGUUCCCCAUAGCUGGUCACGUGCCAAAUCUGACAGUGAUAAAAUCUCAAAUGGCUCUAGCAUCAACUGGCCCCCAGGUAAGACCAUGCAACACUUCUGUGCAACAGCAGCAGGUCAGAAUGUGCUCCAAGCCCGCAGAGAGUGAUUAGGCUGAGAGGACCCAGAAUCUGAGCUGAGGAUCUGGAAGCGUUAAGCCCAGAGCUUUGGCAUUUUCCUUGGAAAUCCAUUUGUCAGAUCAAUUUUGGGUAUGGU